CUCAGUACUCUGUGUUCAGCUGUAUCCUGGCUCUCAUAGCUUGUGGAGUGUUCCUGAGGGUGAGCUUUGAGCUCAAAGUGGUCUUCCUCACCCUGGCCUCCACAGCCUACUACAUCAUCAUCCUCAGCGCCAAGGCUGGUCUCUUCAGCUGCUAUGGACGCAUGCUUUACAACCAACUCAAUGAAAACAAAACUGAGGACUCUGGACCAUCCUGAGAGCGUUGGGGCUGGUCAAACACCCUGAGGUGAUGAGCUGCAUUUACAUCACCUUGUUCCUGGUCACCAUGCUCAUCAUCUCACAACAGAAUGAGUCAUGCUUCCGCCAGGACUUCCUUCUGAAGAAC